rnacentral:rRNA from 1 species
AGAGUUUGAUCAUGGCUCAGGAUAAACGCUGGCGGCGCACAUAAGACAUGCAAGUCGAACGGACUUAACCUUUAGUUUACUAAUGGAGCGGUUAGUGGCGGACUGGUGAGUAACGCGUAAGCAAUCUGCCUAUCAGAGGGGAAUAACAGUGAGAAAUCACUGCUAAUACCGCAUAAGCUGUGAGUAUCGCAUGAUACAAAUAGAAAAGGAGCAAUCCGCUGAUAGAUGAGCUUGCGUCUGAUUAGUUAGUUGGUGAGGUAACGGCCCACCAAGACGAUGAUCAGUAGCCGGACUGAGAGGUUGAACGGCCACAUUGGGACUGAGAUACGGCCCAG